rnacentral:rRNA from 1 species
UGAGGAAUAUUGGUCAAUGGGGGCAACCCUGAACCAGCCAAGUCGCGUGAAGGAUGAAGGUCUUAUGGAUUGUAAACUUCUUUUAUACAGGAAUAAAUUGGGGGACGUGUCCCCUUUUGCAUGUACUGUAUGAAUAAGGAUCGGCUAACUCCGUGCCAGCAGCCGCGGUAAUACGGAGAAUCCGAGCGUUAUCCGGAUUUAUUGGGUUUAAAGGGUGCGCAGGCGGGAUGUUAAGUCGGCGGUGAAAUUUUGCAGCUCAACUGUAAAAGUGCCUUCGAUACUGGCUUCCUUGAGUGUAGAUGAAGUAGGCGGAAUUUGUGGUGUAGCGGUGAAAUGCUUAGAUAUCACGAGGAACUCCGAUUGCGCAGGCAGCUUACUAAACUACAACUGACGCUCAUGCACGAAGGCGUGGGGAUCAAACA